UCGUGUUGUGCGCGGGUUCGGAUCGGGGGUUGUGGGCGCGCCGGUGGCGUUGGACGGCAGGCCACGAUCGUAUCAAGUGGAGUCAUGAAACCUAAGUGAAACGCACUUUUCAACGCCAUUAACCGCAACAACUUUAAUGCUAAUGGUGACAUGUGAGGAGGACGAGAUGGGGUCGCAUGGCAUGUCAGCCGAGCUGGACGCCUCGAGAAUGGCACAUGCCAACUACAGUGACGAGUCGCUCCGAGUCAAGGCUGCGUACCAGGGGUCAAAGCGGCAGCUCUGCUCCAUCCGCCGCGAGACCAAGGUCCUGUUUGACAACAACAAGGACGCGACGGACCAGACCGGGGAGGAUUUCGGCAACGUCCACGAUGAGGAGAAGUGUCGCGUCGCUGGCUCCAGGCAGUGGACGACAGCCUGGCGCGCCGCCUCCACCUUGCCGGAGACGACAUGCUGCACGUCAGCGAUGAGCGCCUGGAGCGGCUGCUACGCCGCAUACGGUCUGCGACGGCCCAGCACCCAACGUAGCUGGUCACCGAUAUCGCCGUUAUCCGUUGACGCCGUCUCCCGGCUCCUCGGACAUCGAGUGGAAGUGGAUUUGUUCCAUUUCGGUGCGGACGCAAAACCUUUGAAGAGACUGGACACCCGGUGUGCUCAGCUGUAGCCCGUCACGCUGCCUCCUGGGUCUGCCGAGCGGUGCGCGGCGGUGCUGCUACGCCGCCCGCCGUCCCUGCGACGGUUGGACAUGGCGGACAGUGGCGUGCGGGGAGAGUGUUUAUCACUGCUCCCCGAUUCAUUGGAGGCUCUCUGGGCGGCCAGAUGUGAAGAUCUACAGCCGGCGUGCCUGCGUCAGCUGACCCGCUGUCCUCGCUCGCGGCAGCUGGACGUCGCAGAGUGUCGCGGGUUGACAGCUAUUGGCCUUAGCUGCCUGCCCCGGCUCAGGGAGCCGCGUGAUCUUCACCUGUACGGGCUGGAGAAUGUGACGGACGUCACACUGGACCGGCUGCACGGGUCCUGGCUGAGAGUGCUGGACCUGUCCCGAUACGAGUCCUGUUCAGCAGAUGGUGUCACGCGGCGAGCUCACCGGUGGGGACGUGACGAAGGCGAUUGGAUGGGGAACGUUGUAAACUGGGGGAGUUCCACGUGGCCUGGACAUCCUGGGAGUCUUCUUGUUAUUUUUUAGUUCGGUGUGCUUUCCGCAUACCCGAGUCCAGCCGAGGCGGCUAAUAUGUGACCGAUCGGUAGUCUAAGCUUAGCCAAAGACGGGACGGUGUUGUAGGCCAGUAAACUGCAGCCUGAAUGAGCCAGGAUGUGCCCACUUGUGCGUCCGCUCCCAGGGAUGCCACGUGGUGCAAGCCCCAUGUUUCCGAGGUGUUUCGGCUGUACCCGGCUCUGACGUCACGCCAGGCUCCUCGCUGCGUCAUCCGUCUAGUAAGAGCCGGCUGCAGAGGGCGGCACCCGCUGUUACGGCGGGGUUAAGUCCGCAGGCUGACGUAUGUUGACGCUGGCGAACAGUUGAUGGGGUGCGCGACGUAUCACAGAGCUCGUAGGUGGUGAGCCGUUCGUUUCUCUGUGAGCUGGCGUUCUGGGUUUGACACGUGC